ensembl:lncRNA
CUAUAGACUAGAAGGUCUCCUCAUAUCCAGCUAAGGGCCUCUGGAGUGAAAAGGAAAAGGACGUUUUGGGGAAAGACUUUAUAUCGGAGGCUGUCAGGUCCGUUUGCUGAGCUCCUGCUGCUGCCUUUCAUUCAGACUCAGAGGACGCUGUAGGAGUGACGUCUCCGGGUCCAGAUGCUGCAGCCUGAGAAAACACGACGUGGGCGAGAAGAGGCUCCGAGGGCCGGAGUUCAGAGCUGUUAUAACACGAGAGGACAGCGGGAUGAGGUGAAGGAAUACAGCUGUGGUCGCUGACAGGGAGGGAGGAGGAUGGAAAAGAUUAAAGGAUGGACGACGGAUUGAAGGAGGGAGAGAUUGUGUUUGACACUCAUGAGCUCGGAGGUGCAGCAGGUUAGUGGGAAGGCG